AUUGAACGCUGGCGGCAGGCCUAACACAUGCAAGUCGAACGGUAACAGGAAGAAGCUUGCUUCUUUGCUGACGAGUGGCGGACGGGUGAGUAAUGUCUGGGAAACUGCCUGAUGGAGGGGGAUAACUACUGGAAACGGUAGCUAAUACCGCAUAACGUCGCAAGACCAAAGAGGGGGACCUUCGGGCCUCUUGCCAUCGGAUGUGCCCAGAUGGGAUUAGCUAGUAGGUGGGGUAACGGCUCACCUAGGCGACGAUCCCUAGCUGGUCUGAGAGGAUGACCAGCCACACUGGAACUGAGACACGGUCCAGACUCCUACGGGAGGCAGCAGUGGGGAAUAUUGCGCAAUGGGCGCAAGCCUGAUGCAGCCAUGCCGCGUGUAUGAUGAAGGCCUUCGGGUUGUAAAGUACUUUCAGCGGGGAGGAAGGGAGGAGAGUUAAUACCUUUGCUUAUUGACGGUACCCGCAGAAGAAGCACCGGCUAACUCCGUG
rnacentral:rRNA from 1 species